rnacentral:lncRNA from 1 species
CCAGCUAGAUAGGAAGGAUGUUGAGGCCCUUCCAACUCUGAUUUUGUGAAACAACAAUUUCUUUUCUAAAAUUUUAUUUAAUUUUUUCCAAUGAACAAAACUUUAUUUUCUCUUCCUCCCAUCUUCCCCUUCAAUUGAAAAAAGAAAAGCAAAAAAAAAAUCCUUUGAACAAAUAUGUAUACUCAUAUAUGUAUAUAUAUAUAUAUAUACAUAUAUAUAUAUAUUCAAGCAUAACAAAUUCCUUCAUUGGUUGCUGUACAAAAAUAUAGGUUUCAUUCUGCAUCCUGAGCCCCUCCUCUUUUGAAAUAAUUAUUUUCCAAUAAUAAAUAUUUAUAUUUAUAAAAUUUAUAAUAUCUCCCCCAAACAAAUAUUUAUGUUUCUAAUAAUAUUAUUUACCAAUAAAUAAUUUCCUGAAUUUAUUUAUUUUGCAGUUCUAAAGAAGGGUAGUGAAAACAACACUGGGGCUGAACUCAAUAGCAUCUGGAUUCAAAUCCCAGCUCUGCAGAUCCUUGGUCAAGUCUCUUCAGUUCCUAGUUUGCUCACCUGUAAAACAAAUAGAUUGCCAUUAAAGUUCCUUUUAGGAGGAGAUCCUGGGUACAGAUUUGCUCUCAAACAUGGCCUGCCUGUGUGACCCUGGGCAAGUCACUUAACCUUCAUUACCUAGCCCUUACUGCUCUUCUGCCUUGGAACCAAAACAUAGUAUUGCUUCUAAGAUGGAAGGAACACAUGAAACCAGGCUGGGAUAAAGGCCUUCCUUGCUGCAGAUUUAUUCAAGUGAACAAUCCACACACAGAUCACUGGAAA